rnacentral:rRNA from 1 species
UACGUAGGGUGCGAGCGUUAAUCGGAAUUACUGGGCGUAAAGCGUGCGCAGGCGGUUCGCUGUGCCCUGUGUGAAAGCCCCGGGCUCAACCUGGGAAUGGCAUGGGAAACUGGCGGGCUGGAGUGUGGCAGAGGGGGGUGGAAUUCCGCGUGUAGCAGUGAAAUGCGUAGAGAUGCGGAGGAACACCGAUGGCGAAGGCAGCCCCCUGGGCCAACACUGACGCUCAGGCACGAAAGCGUGGGGAGCAAACAGG